UACGAAGGGGGCUAGCGUUGCUCGGAAUCACUGGGCGUAAAGCGCACGUAGGCGGCUUUUUAAGUCAGGGGUGAAAUCCUGGAGCUCAACUCCAGAACUGCCUUUGAUACUGAGAAGCUUGAGUCCGGGAGAGGUGAGUGGAACUGCGAGUGUAGAGGUGAAAUUCGUAGAUAUUCGCAAGAACACCAGUGGCGAAGGCGGCUCACUGGCCCGGUACUGACGCUGAGGUGCGAAAGCGUGGGAGCAACAGGG
rnacentral:rRNA from 1 species